GACGAACGCUGGCGGCGUGCCUAAUACAUGCAAGUUGAGCGAUGAAGAUUGGUGCUUGCACCUAUUUGAAGAGCAGCGAACGGGUGAGUAACGCGUGGGGAAUCUGCCUUUGAGCGGGGGACAACAUUUGGAAACGAAUGCUAAUACCGCAUAACAACUUUAAACAUAAGUUUUAAGUUUGAAAGAUGCAAUUGCAUCACUCAAAGAUGAUCCCGCGUUGUAUUAGCUAGUUGGUGAGGUAAAGGCUCACCAAGGCGAUGAUACAUAGCCGACCUGAGAGGGUGAGCGGCCACAUUGGGACUGAGACACGGCCCAAACUCCUACGGGAGGCAGCAGUAGGGAAUCUUCGGCAAUGGACGAAAGUCUGACCGAGCAACGCCGCGUGAGUGAAGAAGGUUUUCGGAUCGUAAAACUCGGUUGGUAGAGAAGAACGUUGGUGAGAGUGGAAAGCUCAUCAAGUGACGGUAACUACCCAGAAAGGGACGGCUAACUACGUG
rnacentral:rRNA from 1 species